rnacentral:rRNA from 1 species
UGUGAACGCUGGCGGCGUGCUUAACACAUGCAAGUCGAACGAGAACGGGUUAUAGCUUGCUAUAACUGUCAGCUAAGUGGCGCACGGGUGAGUAACAUGUAGGUAUCUGCCCUUUGGCCUGGAAUAACACGAGGAAACUUGUGCUAAUACCGGAUAAGUCUUUACGGAGAAAGCUUUAUGCACCAUUGGAUGAGCCUGCACUUGAUUAGUUUGUUGGUGGGGUAAUGGCCUACCAAGACUGUGAUCAAUAGCUGAUUUGAGAGGAUGAUCAGCCACAUUGGGACUGAGACACGGCCCAA